UACAGAGGUCUCAAGCGUUGUUCGGAUUCAUUGGGCGUAAAGGGCGCGUAGGCUGCGGGCAAGGCGGGUGUGAAAUCUCAGAGCUCAACUCUGAAACUGCACUCGAUACUGCUUUGCUCGAGGACUGGAGAGGAGAUUGGAAUUCACGGUGUAGCAGUGAAAUGCGUAGAUAUCGUGAGGAAGACCAGUGGCGAAGGCGGAUCUCUGGACAGUUCCUGACGCUGAGGCACGAAGGUCAGGGGAGCAAACGGG
rnacentral:rRNA from 1 species